CUAAAAUGUGACGAAUUUUUACAUUUCCUUACUGUUUUUAAAAAAACUUUACACCAUAAAUUGUGUGGAAGCUCAAAAUUACUAAAUUAUAAGCUUUUCUCCCUCCGUAUAGGAAUAAUUACUUUAAAAGAAGAAGUCAUAUUUUAUUAACAGCAGGUCAAUAUAUGACGGUGUUUUAUGGAUAUAAGCAAAUUGGACUUGAAAGUAUCUCAAUUGCGUCAAUUGGCUUAAACUGAGACAUCGAUUUCUUAGAAACUAUCUUUCUUUAUCGUGCGAAAUAAAGAAUGUUCUUGCGCAGACGCAUUUAGAUGACAAAGAGAACUUCAGUUUCAUUCGGAACAUCAGAGGGUGUAUUUCCCUUCUACAUCAGACUUUGUAAUAUUGUGCGAUCGAGUGUCAAGUGCAUACAUGGUUAUCCAUAAUUACUAUACUCUUUUACUAGAAAAGACUAAAACACAAAAAGGAAACGCCGAAGUUUUCAGAGAAUAUAAUGUCAUAAAAAAGUUUGUUCUACGUACUUAAAAUAAUAGUCAGCUUUACAUUCAAAUAUCUUUGGAACUUCAAUAUCUAUUACUUCAAGACUACUACAAAAUACAACACUCACGUGGCCUGAAAUAGUUCCAUUCCAUGAUUCUGGAGUUCUUCUCCGACAUAAUUAAGAACAAACAUUUGCAGCAACUAUAACAAUAAACAGUUUGAGGAAUAAUUCAGAAUGAUACAGAGCGUAAGUAGUACUUACUUGGAAAAGGUUGAGACUUAAAGAAGUGACGCCAAUUAUGAUCAGAAAAGCGAAUGUCACCAUAAAACUUGAUAUUGAAAAUAGACAUGCUAUAAUGUUAGAAGUCAAAAUAAACUGUACUGAAAUAAAUUUCAAAUGAUCCUUAACACUUUGCUGACCUAACGGGAUGAUUUUCCCGUUUCGCAUCUGUUUUUCAUCAAAUCAUUAUUUUAUUAUUUGAAGCUACUUGUAUGUUUUUUGAGUGUUUAAAUUUAAGAAUGUUACUAUAGGUCACUUGCAAAAACUGUGCGAUGGCUAAUGUAUAGUCAGCUCCCAUUCGUACGGUUGACAAUAUGUUAACAAAUUUUGAUACUAAUAUUUUUAAUUCAAAUCUGUUUUUCAACUUCUGAUAUAAAUUUCAUGCUUAUCAUGUAUGUUGUGUUUAACGGACAUAUUGUACAAGUAUGUUUAUAAAAUACGCCUAAUA